CAAGAAACAAAAACAGGACAAGCCUAAAAUACAGGCUCCGGUAAACAUUCAGGGAAAAGUGUAUUACUGACACGUGAGAGCUCGGUUUUCAAGGUUAAUAAAAUAAAGCUGACAGAAGUCCUGAUGCCUCACAUGACUCAGACCCAUUUCUCCUUUCCCUCCUAGCAAAUACCAGUGGGCAAUUUAAUGAACAAUCUUUGAAUUCUGAUUCCUGACUCAGAAAGAGAAACAAACCCCUAGAGCAGAAAACUCGUUGGCUGACAGGAAGUACUCCAUGCAUGUUUCUGUAACACUGGAAUUCUUCUAAUCGCAUGAGGACAUGACAGCUGGCACGCUGGGCACUGCGGGCCUGGCGGAUGCAAGCCUUAUGGUGGACAUUGACAAGCAGCAGCUGCUCUGUUCCUCUGGGAAGUGGGUGCCCAGGAUGGCAUGCAACGUAUUCCCUGCUCAGCAUCACAAAAGGUCCAGAAGAGCAGACACGGUCCAUCCGCUCCUGUGAUGCUGCAGCUCUGGGGGUGCUGCUGGAGAGGUCAGUGUGCUGGUCACAGACUUCUCAACAUUCCAGCAGAGAGUGGUGAUUUGGAUCACCUCCCUAACAUCCAUCCUACUCCCAAGGAGAUGCCACCAGCCAAGCAGCCGGAUUCUGCACCUGGGGCACUAGCGUGGGGGCAUAUAGCCAAGACUGGAUUUGAACACAUUCAAUGGACAGAGGGUUUUCUUCAGAAUUGGCUUUGGAUCUGAAAUUUCACCUUCCUGAUGUUCCCUACCUUGUAUGCACACCUACAGCCACCUGUCACUUCGCAGAAGGGAAGAGGCUACAAGUUCAAAGGAGGUAAAGGUGAGAGUCGGUGAGUCCGGGAGGCAGGGUCAUGCUGUGGCUGGCCAGGUAUAAAACCACCUAGGCUUGGCUGCAUUGUUUCAACACUCCGUCACCAGAAACUUUGAGGAGGGAUCACUCAGCUUCCAAUGUGUUUUAAAUAGCUGAGCUUUUUCUCAGACCAGACUUCAUGAAGGACCUUCAAACAAACAACAAAUGAAAGCUUGAAUUUAAGGAGGAUUUGGGAAUGUUAAAGCUCUAAUUCAUCCCACCCCUUCCCCUGGAGGUCAUGCAUAUGGAAUUCCAGAGUUCUGGGAUAGGAGAAGCACAAGCAGAAAUGGAUGGGAGAGACAGCAUUUUAGCCCCUUCCUGCUCCCACUCCACGGCAGUCUGAACAUGUCCUUUUCACAGUUCUGCCAGGAGGUCCAAGCGAUAGAAGUUAGAUAGGCUGGGCAUGAGGAAAUGUGUACUUUCAGUUUUCAGGGGCUUCCUGCCUUUUGUAUUAUGGCAGCAGGCCAUGGAGGCAGGUUGCAAUUUAUUAACUAAUCACACGCCAAAGCAAUGCCAUCUUUCCUUUGAAAACACUGUUUAUUUCCUGUCUUAUGCCAUUCAGGCUGUUGUGGCAAAAUACUGAACACUGCAAGGAAUAACAGAAACUUAUUUCUCACAGUUCUGAAGGCUGAAAGUCCAUAAUCUAGGCUCUGGCAAAUUCAGUGUCUUGUGAGAGUUUACUUCCAGGUUCACAGGCAGUGCCUUCUUACUGUGUCCUUACAUGGUGGAAGGGUCACAGGAGUUGUCUCAGGCCUCUUUUUUGUUUUUGUUUUCUGAGACAGGGUCUCACAGUGUCACCCAGGCUAGAGUGCAGUGGCGUGAUCAUAGUUCACUUUAGCCUUGACCUCC
ensembl:lincRNA